rnacentral:rRNA from 1 species
GUGAGGAAUAUUGGACAAUGGAUGGAAAUCUGAUCCAGCCAUGCCGCGUGCAGGAAGGCGGCCCUAUGGGUUGUAAACUGCUUUUGUACGGGAGCAAUAAGGUCUACGAGUAGAUUGAUGAGAGUACUGUACGAAUAAGCAUCGGCUAACUCCGUGCCAGCAGCCGCGGUAAUACGGAGGAUGCGAGCGUUAUCCGGAUUUAUUGGGUUUAAAGGGUGCGUAGGCUGUUAUGUAAGUCAGUGGUAAAAGGUACAGGCUUAACUUGUAUAUGCCAUUGAAACUGUAUAGCUAGGAUAUGGAUGAAGUGUGCGGAAUGUGUGGUGUAGCGGUGAAAUGCAUAGAUAUCACACAGAACACCGAUAGCGAAGGCAGCACACUAAGGCAAUAUUGACGCUGAGGCACGAAAGUGUGGGGAUCAAACAGGAUUAGAUACCCGGGUAGUCC